AUGGGGUCGGGGGUCGUGACAGAAGAAACUUUGCUUCAUUUUAAGUGUUUUUACUCCCGGUCACCGUUACCCUUUUCGAUUGAUCCGAGUCCCAUAACGCAUGUCGAGGCUCUGCCCGACUAAGUUCGUUUGGAUUCUAUCUCGGGACUUCGGGACAAGGUUGAUUUAGGGGUAUUAUACUUAUCACGAGUGCAUUAUAUUUUUAAUAACCCAAAGGUUAUAUCCAAAACUUAUACCAGGAGUCCUUCUAGUUGAACCCUAAAGUUACACAGUGGGUCCAUUCCUUUUUCUCACCAUUUUAUUCUCUUUUUAUGAUUUACCCAAAACUAUUAUUCUAUUCUCAUUAAAAGUCAUAUCUAUCAUUUUAUUUACCCAAUAGGAAACCAUAGUUGAGACACCCAAGUAAUUCUGCACUAACCCUAGAAUUUCCAGAGCAAUCAGAAUCAGGAUCAGGGGCCCUAAAACUCAGGGGGGGGGCAAAACCCUAAUAACGAUUAUCUUCAUAACUCAUUAUAAAAUUCGAAAUUUAUAAAACCAUCGACACAGCAAGCCUACAUGCACGAAGGGCUACUCUAUGAAAAUAGGGUGGUCACUCGCGUAGCGCGACGGCUAAGGGGGUACCCCUCGCGCUACGCGACGGUGUCAAAAUUUCAGUAUAAAUAGCAGGAGUUGGGACUUGAAUUUUGGCACUUGAACGACGAAAAUCGGAGUUACGUAGGUCGAGUUAUAAGCAAAACAGUCCAACACACACACACAAUUAUCGAAUCACUACCGCAAAACAGGGUAAUUAGUCGAUCGCUAUUACGAUUCAGUUUCCGGGAUCAAUAUACCCAAAGAAUGUCUAAGUGCUGCCCACAUUGGGCUAUGCUUUAUCGUUGUCGAUAAUUCGAUAAUGAGCCGAAGCAUUGUA
rnacentral:lncRNA from 1 species